rnacentral:rRNA from 1 species
CAGCAGCCACGGGAAUACAGAGGGUGCGAGCGUUAAUCGGAUUUACUGGGCGUAAAGCGUGCGUAGGCGGCUUUUUAAGUCGGAUGUGAAAUCCCUGAGCUUAACUUAGGAAUUGCAUUCGAUACUGGGAAGCUAGAGUAUGGGAGAGGAUGGUAGAAUUCCAGGUGUAGCGGUGAAAUGCGUAGAGAUCUGGAGGAAUACCGAUGGCGAAGGCAGCCAUCUGGCCUAAUACUGACGCUGAGGUACGAAAGCAUGGGGAGCAAACAGGAUUAGAUACCCCAGUAGUCCCUGUCUCUUAUCC